AAUCAACGCUGGCGGCGUGCCUAACACAUGCAAGUCGAACGAGAAAGAGGGACUUCGGGUCCUUUGAGUAUAGUGGCGCACGGGUGAGUAACACGUGGCUAACCUACCCUCGAGUGGGGAAUAACUUCGGGAAACCGAGGCUAAUACCGCAUAAUACCCACGGGUCAAAGGAGCAAUUCGCUUGAGGAGGAGGUCGCGGCCGAUUAGUUAGUUGGCGGGGUAAUGGCCCCACCCAAGACGGUGAUCGGUAUCCGGCCUGAGAGGGCGCACGGACACACUGGAACUGAAACACGGUCCAGACUCCUACGGGAGGCAGCAGUGGGGAAUUUUGCGCAAUGGGGGAAACCCUGACGCAGCAACGCCGCGUGGAGGAUGAAGUCUCUUGGGACGUAAACUCCUUUCGAUCGGGACGAUUAUGACGGUACCGGAAGAAGAAGCCCCGGCUAACUUCGUG
rnacentral:rRNA from 1 species